rnacentral:rRNA from 1 species
GAUGAACGCUGGCGGCGUGCCUAAUACAUGCAAGUCGAGCGAACGGACGAGAAGCUUGCUUCUCUGAUGUUAGCGGCGGACGGGUGAGUAACACGUGGAUAACCUACCUAUAAGACUGGGAUAACUUCGGGAAACCGGAGCUAAUACCGGAUGAUAUUUUGAACCGCAUGGUUCAAAAGUGAAAGACGGUCUUGCUGUCACUUAUAGAUGGAUCCGCGCUGCAUUAGCUAGUUGGUAAGGUAACGGCUUACCAAGGCAACGAUGCAUAGCCGACCUGAGAGGGUGAUCGGCCAAACUGGAACUGAGACACGGUUCAGACUCCUACGGGAGGCAGCAGUAGGGAAUCUUCCGCAAUGGGCGAAAGCCUGACGGAGCAACGCCGCGUGAGUGAUGAAGGUCUUCGGAUCGUAAAACUCUGUUAUUAGGGAAGAACAUAUGUGUAAGUAACUGUGCACAUCUUGACGGUACCUAAUCAGAAAGCCACGGCUAACUACGUG